rnacentral:tRNA from 1 species
AAAACUUGAGUUUUCACAAAAUUCCUCGGUUGCAGUGAGGGGAUAAGAGCUACCAUCUCUUAAGUUUUA